rnacentral:rRNA from 1 species
UGUGUGUGUUAGUGGAAGCGUCUGGAAAGGCGUGCGAUACAGGGUGACAGCCCCGUACACAAAAAUGCACAUACUGUGAGCUCGAUGAGUAGGGCGGGACACGUGGUAUCCUGUCUGAAUAUGGGGGGACCAUCCUCCAAGGCUAAAUACUCCUGACUGACCGAUAGUGAACCAGUACCGUGAGGGAAAGGCGAAAAGAACCCCGGCGAGGGGAGUGAAAAAGAACCUGAAACCGUGUACGUACAAGCAGUGGGAGCACGCUUAGGCGUGUGACUGCGUACCUUUUGUAUAAUGGGUCAGCGACUUAUAUUCUGUAGCAAGGUUAACCGAAUAGGGGAGCCGAAGGGAAACCGAGUCUUAACUGGGCGUUAAGUUGCAGGGUAUAGACCCGAAACCCGGUGAUCUAGCCAUGGGCAGGUUGAAGGUUGGGUAACACUAACUGGAGGACCGAACCGACUAAUGUUGAAAAAUUAGCGGAUGACUUGUGGCUGGGGGUGAAAGGCCAAUCAAACCGGGAGAUAGCUGGUUCUCCCCGAAAGCUAUUUAGGUAGCGCCUCGUGAAUUCAUCUCCGGGGGUAGAGCACUGUUUCGGCAAGGGGGUCAUCCCGACUUACCAACCCGAUGCAAACUGCGAAUACCGGAGAAUGUUAUCACGGGAGACACACGGCGGGUGCUAACGUCCGUCGUGAAGAGGGAAACAACCCAGACCGCCAGCUAAGGUCCCAAAGUCAUGGUUAAGUGGGAAACGAUGUGGGAAGGCCCAGACAGCCAGGAUGUUGGCUUAGAAGCAGCCAUCAUUUAAAGAAAGCGUAAUAGCUCACUGGUCGAGUCGGCCUGCGCGGAAGAUGUAACGGGGCUAAACCAUGCACCGAAGCUGCGGCAGCGACGCUUAUGCGUUGUUGGGUAGGGGAGCGUUCUGUAAGCCUGUGAAGGUGUGCUGUGAGGUAUGCUGGAGGUAUCAGAAGUGCGAAUGCUGACAUAAGUAACGAUAAAGCGGGUGAAAAGCCCGCUCGCCGGAAGACCAAGGGUUCCUGUCCAACGUUAAUCGGGGCAGGGUGAGUCGACCCCUAAGGCGAGGCCGAAAGGCGUAGUCGAUGGGAAACAGGUUAAUAUUCCUGUACUUGGUGUUACUGCGAAGGGGGGACGGAGAAGGCUAUGUUGGCCGGGCGACGGUUGUCCCGGUUUAAGCGUGUAGGCUGGUUUUCCAGGCAAAUCCGGAAAAUCAAGGCCGAGGCGUGAUGACGAGGCACUACGGUGCUGAAGCAACAAAUGCCCUGCUUCCAGGAAAAGCCUCUAAGCAUCAGGUAACAUCAAAUCGUACCCCAAACCGACACAGGUGGUCAGGUAGAGAAUACCAAGGCGCUUGAGAGAACUCGGGUGAAGGAACUAGGCAAAAUGGUGCCGUAACUUCGGGAGAAGGCACGCUGAUACGUAGGUGAAGCGACUUGCUCGUGGAGCUGAAAUCAGUCGAAGAUACCAGCUGGCUGCAACUGUUUAUUAAAAACACAGCACUGUGCAAACACGAAAGUGGACGUAUACGGUGUGACGCCUGCCCGGUGCCGGAAGGUUAAUUGAUGGGGUUAGCGCAAGCGAAGCUCUUGAUCGAAGCCCCGGUAAACGGCGGCCGUAACUAUAACGGUCCUAAGGUAGCGAAAUUCCUUGUCGGGUAAGUUCCGACCUGCACGAAUGGCGUAAUGAUGGCCAGGCUGUCUCCACCCGAGACUCAGUGAAAUUGAACUCGCUGUGAAGAUGCAGUGUACCCGCGGCAAGACGGAAAGACCCCGUGAACCUUUACUAUAGCUUGACACUGAACAUUGAGCCUUGAUGUGUAGGAUAGGUGGGAGGCUUUGAAGUGUGGACGCCAGUCUGCAUGGAGCCGACCUUGAAAUACCACCCUUUAAUGUUUGAUGUUCUAACGUGGACCCGUGAUCCGGGUUGCGGACAGUGUCUGGUGGGUAGUUUGACUGGGGCGGUCUCCUCCUAAAGAGUAACGGAGGAGCACGAAGGUUGGCUAAUCCUGGUCGGACAUCAGGAGGUUAGUGCAAUGGCAUAAGCCAGCUUGACUGCGAGCGUGACGGCGCGAGCAGGUGCGAAAGCAGGUCAUAGUGAUCCGGUGGUUCUGAAUGGAAGGGCCAUCGCUCAACGGAUAAAAGGUACUCCGGGGAUAACAGGCUGAUACCGCCCAAGAGUUCAUAUCGACGGCGGUGUUUGGCACCUCGAUGUCGGCUCAUCACAUCCUGGGGCUGAAGUAGGUCCCAAGGGUAUGGCUGUUCGCCAUUUAAAGUGGUACGCGAGCUGGGUUUAGAACGUCGUGAGACAGUUCGGUCCCUAUCUGCCGUGGGCGCUGGAGAACUGAGGGGGGCUGCUCCUAGUACGAGAGGACCGGAGUGGACGCAUCACUGGUGUUCGGGUUGUCAUGCCAAUGGCACUGCCCGGUAGCUAAAUGCGGAAGAGAUAAGUGCUGAAAGCAUCUAAGCACGAAACUUGCCCCGAGAUGAGUUCUCCCUGACCCUUUAAGGGUCCUGAAGGAACGUUGAAGACGACGACGUUGAUAGGCCGGGUGUGUAAGCGCAGCGAUGCGUUGAGCUAACCGGUACUAAUGAACCGUGAGGCUUAACCUUACAACGCCGAAG